UUUUUCAUCAUUUAGAAAGUGGGUUUCUAAGACUUGUACCAUGUAUAGAAGCUUUUUGUUUUUUUAAAUUUGUCUUCUAGUCUCACAUUUUUCUAUCUUUACAUAGGUUAUGUAGCACUAAAUUAUGGGAAUCUGCUAAUUCCCAUUAAAAUGAACUUUUGAAGAGAAGCUAAAUAUAGUUACUAUCUUUCCCAAAACAUAACUUCAGAAAACCCUUGAGAAGUUGGAAAGUUUAAAAAGUGGCUGCUUGUUUAUUACAUAUAUUUUCUUAAACUUGUUAACUCGCCUACUUAAUGCUAAGAACUGUGUCUCGGCCCAGGUGUACCAUACUUUCCAUGAC
rnacentral:lncRNA from 1 species